UGUUUUAUAAAUAAAUUAAUUUGCAAAAUUAACUAAGAUAAAUACCUUAUCUAAAACAU
rnacentral:tRNA from 1 species